GGAAAGUACAGCACAGGGACACAAGGGACGCCUAAGUGACAGAACAUCUGCCAUAUCUGCAACGCCUGGGACUUAAAACAAAGACUACAGUAGAAGCCGGGUCUCCCAACCUGUCUAUGAGGUUCCUGGCCUGCUUGAGUUCCUGCCCUCACUGCCUUUGAAGAGGAACUGUGAUGUGGAACUGUGAGUGAAAUGAACCCUUUGCUCCCAGGUCGUUUUUGAUCAUUGUGUUUCGUCUAAGCAAUAGAAACCACAACUAAGCCAGGGUUCCUCUGUGUAGCGCAGGCUGUCCUUGAACUCAAGAGAUCUGUCUUCGUCUGCCUUCCAAGUGCAGAAACUAAAGGUAUGCACCACUGUACCUGGCUCAAGGUAGGUAUUUUCUUGAAAAAAACAAAGUUACAAAGACUUUCUCACAUGACUUACACAACAGCAGUUUGAAUGUGCAAGUAAUAAUCCUAACAAGAAGACAACUAACGAGCUUGCUUUCACAUACCAUUUUCCAGCAGCACACUCUGUAGUUGUGGCUUAGGGAAAGCCUUAUCUUGGCACAAUGUUGAAGAAUUCUGGAAACAUAAAAAAUAUUCCCUAAGUGUUUGUAAAUAAUGACAUUUUCCAGUAUUUCCAAACACCUGGUUCUGUGGUACAAUGUUUUAGCAACAUCCUGAAUGCCACAUUAUAGUUUAGAUGACUAUGGCAACUCCCAGGAAGGUGACUUACUGUCACCGCCUUCUGCCCUCAACGUAGCCAGCUAAGACUCCUCCUCGGCCUUUUAACAACGAAGGAAUGCUAUGGAUAAUUCUCAGGUGCUCUUUUAAAACUGUUUACUUAGUUGUGUGUGUGCACCGCUGUGUGCGAGUGCGCAGGCGCAUGUGUAAAGGUCCGAGGAAACUCCAUGGCUUUAGUUGUCUCUUUCCAUCUUUAUGUGGCUUCAGCAGGUCAAACUCAGGCUACUCGGCCUACAGCAAGUGCCUUCCUGCUUCUCAGAUAUUCUAAAGAGGUGACAGAGUCACAUGCCCAAGGCUUUGGUGCAGUCUAAAGAUGGCAAAAAACGCAGACAACUAUGUGUAGGAAAUGAAACAGUAAUUUCUGAGCCUGCUAAUUGAUUUGGAUAUUGUUUACAAAUAAUUUCAUAAAAACAAAUUAUUAAAUUCAUUAUUGUGCUUUCUUAAUCAAAAGAAUUUUUAAAAAGGUGAAAUAAAGAACUAAUCUAUUCGUAAUCUCUAGUACACUCAUAAAACUUCAUUACUCUGAAAAUAAGAAAGUGGGAAAAUUGCAAAUGUCCCCUCAAAUCGUCACCUUGACUGUAGCGACCAUAAGGGACACUAUACUUAUCCAGAGAACGGCACUUUAGUCCCUCUCAGGACCUGCUCACUUACUAUAUGGAGUUUCUCCAUAAAUUUCAUAGCCAGAAAUGCUCUUGUAAUGACACAGAAAUUUUUUUAAAUUGUGAGACUAGAAAACUUGUCAGAUUUGUAGCAAAGACACAUAUUCCCAUUGCACCAGUCUUAAUCCUACCCUUAAUCAGAGGAAACACAUCAAGGCAUUCAGAUGUACGAGAUGAGUAUCAUAACUCACCUGGUUGCCUGUUUAAUCAGAGAACGCACAGAGAAGAAAUUUCCUGGUCUGUCUGGAGGAAGGUUAUUUACAGAGUAAGUUUUCUCUUCUCUCUGAAAGUUUAAAACAAACAAAAUCUCAAUAAAUAUGACCCUCGUUAUUUAGCUUUUUCCUUGAGGUAUGUAUACAUGCACCCAUAACUGUUUGUAUUAUGUUAAUCUGGGUCCCCAAGACCCGGAUUUACUCGAGAUUACGACACUGAGGGACCCUGGCCCCGGUUGGUUCUGAUUGGAAAAUAAGGUUGCUGGCAGCCAAUGGCUAGGCAGGGCAGACAGAGACAUGACUUUUAGGAUGCCAGGUGAGGGACCGAUUCUCCUGUCUGGCUCUUAUCUCCCAGUAAGGACUGUGGUCUCUAAGAGGUCGCAAAAGCUGAGGCUGGCCCCUUCUACCUGUCCUAGCCUACAGCUGUGGUAAGAUGCCCUGGCAGGAUUUGUCAAAAAUGGCAACUCCUGUCUAAAUGGCAGCACAGCCACAUCUCCUCAGCCUGCAGCCUUCACAGGGGCAUCUCAUUUCCUGCUCAGCAGGAGCUGCCCCUUACAAAGCUGUCCAAGGUGGCAACACAUCCUUCCCCAUACCCCCAGCUCCCAGCAGCCCCACAGAGAUGGUGCCCCAGCAAAACCAGGCUGCAGUCAGGAAAGACUUCCCACCCGAAUCCAUGGGCCGGAUGCAGGGAAAGGGAAAAAACACCCACCAAUCCCUGAGCUCCACAAGCUCAGGCCUUGAAAUCCCACCAAUCCUCAAAUUGGAAAUGUCUGCUUCAAAAGCUCCAGCCCCUAAGAAAUCCGAUAUAAGCACUGCCCUUUGUUCAGUUCCCCCGCUGCCUUCUCCCCGGAGCAGAGGGAAGUAAUGUUAUAGAGACAGCACGUUUCCCAUAUUAUGACUUUAAGAAGAGCUUUAUACCAACUCUUGAGUUUUCAUAGUUAGCUUACCUUUUCUGAUUCUUCUUGACUUGGAUAAUAUGUAAAAUAGUUACCAAAAUGAGCCCCUUCUGACUUGAAAACCGAUCCGUCUCCAGGAAAAAUCUCUAUUGAGUUUACAUUUUUAUGGGUAAGCCUAAGGUAGAGAAAUAAACGUUUGUUUUCUAAUUAAGUCUAAUGUGUGCAUUAAAGCAAUCAUUAAGACAAUAAAAUCCCCCAAAAAACAAAAAAUCAAAACCAGAGAUGUGGGUAUUUUUGAACUGAAGAGAAAGAGAACAAAUGAAGUGCCUUCUGUGUUUAUAUCAACAACUAAGCUCAGAGCUUCUAGAAUUCAGAAUCCUGUCUUCAUUUCUCCAGUGCCAACCACAGCACCUGGUACAUAGUCGCCAAAGCAACGUUGACACAUACAAGUUAAAUACCACACUUCUAGGUUCUGAAAAUAAGAUUAUUCUUCAAUAAAUAUAACUGGUGUAAUCAAUACCUGAUGGAUGAGAUUAGCUAUCCAUGUAAAACGUGACCAAUUACACAUGUGCUAGCCAGGUAUAAUCUAAGCAUUCCAUAUACAAUUACUGAAAAAUAUUUUUAUUGGAAAUUACUUUUAUUGGAACAGAUAUAAAAGCUAUGUCUUUCCUAUCUUGUUGGGGCUAUCAAGAUGACUCAGCAGGUAGAAGCUGCCAAGCCUGAUGACCUGGCUCAAUUCCUGGGACCCACAGGGUGGAAGAAGAGGUUGUCCUCUGACCUCCACAUGCAUGCCGUAGCACACAUGUAUUGCCAGCCCCAGAAAAAAAUAAAUGCAAUUUUAAAAAAUA